rnacentral:lncRNA from 1 species
GGAAAUAUAUGCCGGAACACUUCUUGUCUCGUUUUUAUGCAAUAGACUACAAGUUUUCUACGACAGAAUCUUAUGUUAUUUACUUUGCCUUCGUCCAGUACCCAUAUAUAAUUUGUAUUUGGAUCUAACUUAAUGCUUUGAGCACUUUGAAUGCUAUUACAAUCUCCAGCUCUAUUCAGUCUUAGGCUAGGAAAUGGUUUUAAAAGGGAUUUUCCGUUUCUUUUGAUAACUGUGUUCAGAGUUGCUGGAAUUCCAGGCUUAGACGUCCUACCUAUAGUUGUAAAGAUGCUUCCUCUUAUCACAUCCAUAUUAACAAGCGCGAGGUUUUCGGGAAUAAGUAACUUCUGGUCUAUUAACGAUCUUUUCA